rnacentral:lncRNA from 1 species
CAAUGGCUUUAAGGGUGUACAAGCCGGUUCCUGCGCCCACUUUUUAAAAAAUUCAAGUAAGCUGAUCACUUGCCCCAGGCCGCGAUGGGUCUGGAUGACACCCUCCCACACCCUCCGCUGGAGCAGGGCUGGAAAAGAACUUGAGGGUCGCCCAGCCCGCGGUCUCUCGACACCUACGCCUGGGGGCUAAAGGCGUCCUGCCUCUUUAAAUCCGGCAGGCUCGGCGAGGGGGUAGGGGGUAGGCGUUGCCCAGGGAGACGGACAGACGCUUCGCUGAGCCAGGCGCCUGGGGACUUGACAGGCCUAGGCGGCGACUGCACCAGACAGUGCUAGCAGCAGCUCCGCUUCCCGCCCAGCGUGUCCUACCAGCGCCCGCAACGAAGCCUCCGAGAGCCCGAAGAAAAGGAGGAGGGCAUGAAGGAGGAGGAGCUAGGAGAGGAAGAGGAGGAGGACGAGGUGGAAGAGGAGGUGAAGGAAAAGGUGGAGGAGGUGGAGGAGGCGGUGGCAGCGGCGGAGGAGAAAGCGAAGGUGGAGGAGCCGGAAGUGGAGGACCCUGGGAGGUUCCCCGACGAAGACCUCUGGACGAUCUUUGACCCCCAUGACAGGGACGAUGAAUGGGAGGAGUCGCUGGAACCCCGGCCCCACUUGAUCAGCGUGGUCAGCCCCAGCCUGAGUCCGACGCCGCCCUCCUCGCCCUCCGCGCCCUCAAGCCUCAAGUGGAGCCCGUCGCUCGCCGAGACCCCGCCGUCCCACGUCUCCUCCCAGCAGAGUUUUCCUAAAAUAUUUCAUACAUUUAGGAAAGACAUGUCUGAAGUGAAAUUAGAUAGAACUAUGUAUAAAAAUUUGUAUCCAGGAAUUCCAAUGUCAGUACAAACAGAAGAAAGUUGGCCUCAAGAAUUGUCUGAUAAAAAGAGCCGAAGUGAGUAGUUUGAUUUCCUAGCUUUUCGGCGGGGGGGGGGGGGGGGGCACAUAUUGGAAAUAUCCCAAGAAUGGAGGAACAGUUGAGUUAGCUUUGAAUCUUAGUUGCUACACAAAAUAACAUUGUGAUAUUGGGUAAAUUACCCAACCUCAUUGAGUCAGACUGUUCAUCUCUUAGGAAUAAUAAAAUUUUCAC